GAUGAACGCUGGCGGCGUGCCUAAUACAUGCAAGUCGAGCGAACGGACGAGAAGCUUGCUUCUCUGAUGUUAGCGGCGGACGGGUGAGUAACACGUGGAUAACCUACCUAUAAGACUGGGAUAACUUCGGGAAACCGGAGCUUAUACCGGAUAAUCUUCUGAACCGCAUGGUUCAAAAGUGAAAGACGGUCUUGCUGUCACUUAUAGAUGGAUCCGCGCUGCAUUAGCUAGUUGGUAAGGUCAAGGCUUAUCAAGGCAACGAUGCAUAGCCGAACGGAGAGGGGGAUCGGCCACCCGGGAACGGGAACACGGUCAUGAGGCCUGCGAGAGGCAGCAGUCGGGAAUCUUACGCAGUAGGGGAAAGCCUGACGGAACAGCGCCGCGUGAGUGGUGACGGUCUUCGGAUCGUAAAAAUCUGUUAUGAGGGAAGAACAUAUGUGUAAGUAACUGUGCACAUCUUGACGGUACCGAAUCAGAAAGCCACGGCUAACUACGUG
rnacentral:rRNA from 1 species